rnacentral:rRNA from 1 species
GACGAACGCUGGCGGCAUGCCUAACACAUGCAAGUCGAACGAGAAGUCCGGGUCUUUUGGCGCACGUCGGUGGAAGGCGGGGGGAGCUGCACUUGGGUUCGGAAUACCUCUCCGAAAGGGGUCCUAAUACCAGAGAAGGUCUUCGGACCAAAGAUUUCUUGCCUUGGGGUGGGCCCUCGUUAGAUUCGAUAGUUGGUAGGGUAAAAGCCUAAUAAGGGGCGGAUGCAUAGCUGGUUUGGUAGGAUGAUCCGCCACGCUAGGACUAAGACACGGCCCCGACUCCUACGGGAGGGAGCAGAGGGGUAUAGUGGAGGAUGGGGGAAAGUCUGAUCCAGCAGUGUCGCGGAAGUGAUGAAGGGCGUAGGGAUGUAAUGCUCUUUUACCCGGGAUGAUAGUGACGGUACCGGGAGAAUAAGCUCCGGCUAACUACGUG